rnacentral:rRNA from 1 species
CCUACGGGUGGCAGCAGUGAGGAAUAUUGGUCAAUGGACGCAAGUCUGAACCAGCCAUGCCGCGUGCAGGAAGACGGCUCUAUGAGUUGUAAACUUCUUUUGUACGGGGGUAAACGCAGAUACGCGUAUCUGUCUGAAAGUAUCGGACGAAUAAGGAUCGGCUAACUCCGUGCCAGCAGCCGCGGUAAUACGGAGGAUUCAAGCGUUAUCCGGAUUUAUUGGGUUUAAAGGGUGCGUAGGCGGUCGGAUAAGUUAGAGGUGAAAUCCCGAGGCUCAACUCCGGAAUUGCCUUUGAUACUGUUCGUCUAGAGAGUAGUUGCGGUAGGCGGAAUGUAUGGUGUAGCGGUGAAAUGCUUAGAGAUCAUACAGAACACCGAUUGCGAAGGCAGCUUACCAAGCUACUUCUGACGUUGAGGCACGAAAGCGUUGGGAGCAAACAGGAUUAGAUACCCGGGUAGUC